UCAAGAAACUUCCACAAUGGGCGAAAGCCUGAUGGAGCGACGUCGCGUGAUGGACGAAGUGCUUCGGCACGUAAACAUCUUUUUAUGUGGGAUGAAAUUAUUGACAGUACCACAUGAAUAAGGGGCUCCUAACUCUGUGCCAGCAGGAGCGGUAAUACAGAGGCCCCAAGCGUUAUCCGGAAUCACUGGGCGUAAAGGGUGUCGAGGCGGUUGUAUUAGUCGUUCGUAAAAUCUACGAGCUUAACUUGUAGGCGGCGAACGAAACGGUACGACUUGAGGUUUGGAGAGGUGCGUGGAACUCACGGUGUAGGGGUGAAAUCCGUUGAUAUCGUGGGGAACACCAAAGGCGAAGGCAGCGCACUGGCCAAAAUCUGACGCUCACACACGAAAGCUAGGGUAGCGAAGAGGAUUAGAUACCCAAGUAGUCCCUGAGCGGGCUGGCAAGGCGCAU
rnacentral:rRNA from 1 species